ACCAACAGGGAUUGCCCUAGUAACGGCGAGUGAAGCGGCAACAGCUCAAAUUUGAAAUCUGGCUCUUUCAGAGUCCGAGUUGUAAUUUGCAGAGGGCGCUUUGGCGUUGGCAGCGGUCCAAGUUCUUUGGAACAGGACGUCACAGAGGGUGAGAAUCCCGUACGUGGUCGCUAGACUUCGCCGUGUAAAGCCCCUUCGACGAGUCGAGUUGUUUGGGAAUGCAGCUCUAAAUGGGAGGUAAAUUUCUUCUAAAGCUAAAUACUGGCCAGAGACCGAUAGCGCACAAGUAGAGUGAUCGAAAGAUGAAAAGCACUUUGGAAAGAGAGUCAAAUAGCACGUGAAAUUGUUGAAAGGGAAGCGCUUGCAGCCAGACUUGCCUGUAGUUGCUUAUCCAGACUUUUGUCUGGUGCACUCUUCUGCGGGCAGGCCAGCAUCAGUUUGGGCGGUUGGAUAAAGGUCUCUAUCACGUACCUCUCUUCGGGGAGGCCUUAUAGGGGAGACGCCAUGCAACCAGCCCAGACUGAGGUCCGCGCAUCUGCUAGGAUGCUGGCGUAAUGGCUGUAAGCGGCCCGUCUUGAAACACGGACCAAGGAGUCUAACAUCUAUGCGAGUGUUUGGGUGUCAAGCCCAUACGCGUAAUGAAAGUGAACGGAGGUGGGAACCUUUUAGGUGCACCAUCGACCGAUCCUGAUGUCUUCGGAUGGAUUUGAGUAAGAGCAUGGCUGUUGGGACCCGAAAGAUGGUGAACUAUGCUUGAAUAGGGUGAAGCCAGAGGAAACUCUGGUGGAGGCUCGCAGCGGUUCUGACGUGCAAAUCGAUCGUCAAAUUUGGGCAUAGGGGCGAAAGACUAAUCGAACUAUCUAGUAGCU
rnacentral:rRNA from 1 species